AUAACCAAUGUGCUAUAGGCACCGAGCCGGGAGUGCUACUUUUGACAUCAUUUGUAAACUUACACAGAAAACAAUUGAUAGACUAAUGUCUUUGAAAGAAGGAGGAACCAGGAAUAAUUCAAAUCUAUAGUACCAGGGAGACAUAUUAUUUCAAAGCUGAGGAUUAGACUUCUAAAACUUAACUUUGGUUUUUGUUAAUAUUUUUUUUAUCCUUUUAGUCACUUUACACUUCCCUAUUCUUUGGACUGUUACCUGUCAAUAAUUUCUUCAUGGCAUUUGGGAAAGUGCAAAUGGAUUAUACACUUGGAAGGUUUGCUAGUCUAAAGUGAGAGUCCUUUUAUUUGUUUCAAGGGCAAAAGUCCUCUUUUUUUUCAAACAGAACAAAUGGAAUAGAUUUUCUAUAGUAAAUGAUGCUGAGAACUGUUCUAAUAAUUGAACAAAAACUAAUUCAACAUCAUGACAGUAUUACCUUGGAUGGAGUUGAUUUGCUAUUCAUUUGAGGUUUCUAGAGGGGAAGAUUCAGGAGAUGGAAAUGAAUGUAAAAUGUGAAGUUAUUGAAAACUCUAUUUCAGCAUUUCACUCUGAAGACCUAACAGUGCAGCUUUUUGCAAAGGCCAAGGUGAUGAUUUUGGUUAGAUGUGAAAUUCUGAGAGAAAGGGGUCCAGAAUGAGGGAGAGGCAGGAGUUUUGAGGCAAGGGGAUUGAACGCAUGAGACCAGAGGCAAUUGGAAGGGCCUCCCUGUCAGUAAAAGUCGUAGUUGGUUUGGAAA